UACGUAGGGCGCAAGCGUUGUCCGGAAUCAUUGGGCGUAAAGCGCGUGUAGGCGGCUUGGUAAGUCCGCUCUGAAAGCCCGGGGCUCAACCCCGGGAGGCGGGUGGAUACUGUCAAGCUCGAGUCCGGAAGAGGCGAGUGGAAUUCCUGGUGUAGCGGUGAAAUGCGCAGAUAUCAGGAGGAACACCAAUGGCGAAGGCAGCUCGCUGGGACGUGACUGACGCUGAGACGCGAAAGCGUGGGGAGCAAACAGG
rnacentral:rRNA from 1 species